rnacentral:lncRNA from 1 species
GGUAGUCCUGGGAUCUCAACAUGAUUAAUUCUCUUUGUGUUGGAGGCACACACAAGUUAUAGUACUGCCACAAUCACAAUUUUGAACUUGGGAGCUGUGAAUGUAUAUAUAGGAAGGUGCAUAUGGUCUUCUACCUCAAGAUUCAAGGUGAUUAAAAUUGAAUCUAAUUCCCUAGCUUUUAUCACCCUCAAACAGUCGAUAUGUUCUCAAGUUUAGAUUCAAUCCAUGUAUCUGACCAUUACUAAAUGAUUUUUAUAGCAGCUGUUCCUAUUUGGGAAUUUUUCUUGAAUUGAGAUGUACAAUUAGUUGGCCACAUGAUUAUAAAAUUGACAUCUCUUUAUUCUCUACAUAAAAAAAAAUUAAAAUAGGUUUUAAUAAACAAGCUUUUUGAUUUUUUUCCCCAAUUUUAAAAAACAGAAAACAAUUUUUUAAAAUUAAUUGAGAUACACAAUGAGUAUGAGUCGCAAUGGUUAAAAGUAGUUGUUUGAACCUGAGGUCGAAAGUUCAAUCAUUAGGAAUCACACUCUUUGGAGACCUACCCAUAUCAAAUAAAAUUAUCUCAAUAUAGUAUAUAGGAUAUAUAUGUUAAACAAUAAAUCAGGAAAAAAAAUACUAAUUGAGAUAAAUCUAUUUAUAAAAAGAUACUAGUAGAUUUUAGGAUGAUUUUAUACAUUAUUCUCAUUGGUAGGUAUCAUUCAUUUCGGUAAAUGCAUUAACCAAAUUUACUUGUUUUAAUCAUUUUGGUAAGCCUUAUAGAACCUUUCAAUUUGACAGUAUCUUUCCCUUUCAAUUCAGGAAUGAAUAAAUGCAACCAGUCAUUGACUCAUGGCCUCAUUUUCCUGGUUGUUCAAAAUAUUCCACGUAGAUGUUUCAUCGACCAUAUGCAAUUAUGCAUACAAGGCGUUGAUGACUCCUGAUCAAGAAUAAAGAUGCACCAUGGUUCAUGUGUGUAUGCACAACAAAGGAAAAUACUUUACUUGCCGUGAUUAGUUAUCAUUGCCGUUAUC